rnacentral:sRNA from 1 species
GGGAGCGCGCGGCCCGGGAGUGUGGCCGCCGUGCGCCGGGACACCAGGGCUCCGCGCUCCGCACUCAGAGGCUCUCGCGUCCCAGCCCCCUGCGCCCGCGCGCUUGCGGAUCCAGGCCGAGGACCGAGAGGGGCCGCCCGAGCCCCCGGGGCCGGCGCCCAGAGAGCCCAGCAAGGCCGGCCGCCCUGCCGGUGUGCCGCCGGCGGGUGCUUCUGGAAGGGCCAAUGCGCUCGGGCAGCAGCCCCUGAAGCCGAGCCCGAGGCUAAGUGGGACUGACCGGGGCCCAGAGUGGACGAACCACCAGCAUGGGGAGAGACCAGCGCGCGGUGGCCGGCCCUGCCCUACGGCGGUGGCUGCUGCUGGGGACAGUGACCGUGGGGUUCCUCGCCCAGAGCGUCUUGGCGGAAUAUUUUCCACUCUGGCUUGGGAUGGAAGAAGAGACAACCCCUGGCAGGCAAGUUCACUGCUAACUGAAGUAAAUGCGGUGCAAGCUGAGAUUUGUGUCCAUCGAGCAUUUUACUGUCUUUCUCUGUCUCAUCCCUUGGUUUCAUGAAAUAUGAAAAUAGAACAUUGCACUUUUCAGA